rnacentral:rRNA from 1 species
GACGAACGCUGGCGGCGUGCUUAACACAUGCAAGUCGAACGGAAAGGCCCUGCUUGUGUGGGGUGCUCGAGUGGCGAACGGGUGAGUAACACGUGAGUAACCUGCCCUUGACUUUGGGAUAACUUCAGGAAACUGGGGCUAAUACCGGAUAGGAGCUCCUGCUGCAGGGGGGGGGUUGGAAAGUUUCGGCGGUUGGGGAUGGACUCGCGGCUUAUCCGCUUGUUGGUGGGGUAGUGGCUUACCAAGGCUUUGACGGGUAGCCGGCCUGAGAGGGUGAACGGCCACAUUGGGACUGAGAUACGGCCCAGACUCCUACGGGAGGCAGCAGUGGGGAAUAUUGCACAAUGGGCGGAAGCCUGAUGCAGCAACGCCGCGUGCGGGAUGACGGCCUUCGGGUUGUACACCGCUUUCGCCUGUGACUAAGCGUGAGUGACGGUAAUGGGUAAAGAAGCACCGGCUAACUACGUG